CGGGGUGUGGCGCAGUCAGGUAGCGCGUCCGCUUUGGGAGCGGAAGGCCCCCGGUUCGAAUCCGGGUACCCCGA
rnacentral:tRNA from 1 species